GUAGGUGGCAAGCGUUGUCCGGAAUUAUUGGGCGUAAAGCGCGCGCAGGCGGUCCUUUAAGUCUGAUGUGAAAGCCCACGGCUCAACCGUGGAGGGUCAUUGGAAACUGGGGGACUUGAGUACAGAAGAGGAAAGCGGAAUUCCAAGUGUAGCGGUGAAAUGCGUAGAGAUUUGGAGGAACACCAGUGGCGAAGGCGGCUUUCUGGUCUGUAACUGACGCUGAGGCGCGAAAGCGUGGGGAGCAAACAGGAUUAGAUACCCUGGCAGUCCACGCCGUAAACGAUGAGUGCUAAGUGUUAGGGGGUUUCCCGCCCCCUUAGUGCUGCAGCUAACGCAUUAAGCACUCCGCCUGGGGAGUACGGCCGCAAGGCUG
rnacentral:rRNA from 1 species